rnacentral:rRNA from 1 species
UACGUAGGGGGCAAGCGUUGUCCGGAAUCAUUGGCGUAAAGCGCGUGUAGGCGGCCAGAAAAGUCCGCUGUGAAAACUCGAGGCUCAACUUCGAGCUGUCGGUGGAAACUUUCUGGCUAGAGUCCGGAAGAGGAGAAUGGAAUUCCUGGUGUAGCGGUGAAAUGCGCAGAGUAUCAGGAGGAACACCGAUGGCGAAGGCAGGUCUCUGGGCCACUACUGACGCUGAGAAGCGGAAGGCAUGGGGGAGCGAACAG